GCCGCGAAGAGACAGUAUGGCGCACUCACUAUCUGUGCGGAGAAAUCAUUGCGCGCGUUAACCGAAGCGCAAAGCGCUGGGCAGGUAACGGGAACGCACAAGUUCAAGUGGGCGGGCAGUUGGGUGUGUAUCAUCAUCAGGCAGCAGCUGGACAGAGACACUCCUGGGACAGGUUACCCGUGAUAAAACCGAGUAUCCUGCACAAUAAUCACACAAAAUGGACUCUUGCAUCUUUGAUUUUAUUCUUUAACACUGGACUGUCUGACACAUUGAUUGUAAAAUAGCUGUGCACCACACUUGACAGUACGUGUCAGAAAAUUAGGCAAUCUUGUUUACUAUGGAGAAAUGCAAGGUUAGUGCUUGAAAAUGUUAAAACUAACCUUAUUUUGGAUUGUAUUUUGAGUAGUAUUUUUAUCAUGGGAACAGGAACUGUCCAUUUAAUGAAUGAAAUAAAGAAUGGCACAUAGCCACUCAAUACAA